UGGCAUAGAGGUGAAAUCCAUUUGUCUGGC
rnacentral:piRNA from 1 species